AAAUAACGAAUUUCAUCUGCAUUUAAUAUUAAUUAUGUGAUUAAACCAAGUUUUGUGUUGUUUUAAUCAAUUUUCUUACGUGUUUUAAUGGUCACCGUCUGUUUUUACAAUGUUACUGAGGGCUGUGCAUAACAUUGAUUUUCCGGAAUAUCCCGUGCAGUAUCAAGAUGGUGAUUGGGAAAGUAUUUUAAUUUUAUUAAUAUUUUACAAAGAACAAAGAGCCGUCAUCUCCAAGUUUACAAGCUACCAUGAUUCCGCGUCAUGACGCCAGCAGCCUCUGAGAUAGAUUUGCAGACAUUCAUUUCUUGGCUCCGAAUGAUUUCGGAGGCAGGAUUAUGACAUUCAUCAGGAUCCGACCCCUAUAACUUGUAUAUUAUUAAAAAUUUUGUGAUUUUUAUGUCAAAAUUCUAUUGACAUAUGUUCGCACCUAUUUUAAAUUUGACAAACGCUAUUAUAUUAGUGAAAUAAAAUUUAAUAUUGCUAGUCUUGCGUCUCUUUCAAUUGUGCUUGAGCUGUCUAGAAAGAGGUUUAAACUGUGUUGGGUGUGACUUCAGUAAUAUGUCAAUAAAAUUAAAACUAAUUUAUCAGCAAAUGUUAAAAAGUUAUUAUAAAAUCUAUAUAAACGCCGUUUGUUCAGUGGUAUUAAAAAAAAUCUAGAUAUUUCCAUUUGUCAAUAGUUUGGUGGAAGCAUUGUUAAGUCGGAAUCCAAAAUUGAAGUAGCCAUUUUGUUAUAAAACACGAGGAUGUCCUUAUUCUACGGAAAUUAUUGUCUGCGCAAGAGGGAUAGCAUUACCUUCUUUUUUUGCCUUAAAAAUUGAUUAUGCUUUCACGACUAUGUUCCCCGGGGUGUCAUGUACUAGUCUUUCAUUAACAGAUUACAGUGAUGCAGACAUACAUACAUAGUUGUGCCCUUGUCACUUUUCCUGCCCUGUGUGUUAUACUACUGGACGGAGAACUGAUAAGGGCAUAACUUGUAUAAUUACGACGAGAGAAGAGAAGAUCGGCUGAACAUUGCUGGAAUUUGCGCAACAAACGCUCGUGAUCACCUACUUGUAUAUUAAAUACAUACAGACAUUUGAGGCGCUAGAGUCACCAAAUAUAUAAAUAUGUGAAAUCAAUGAACGCGUCAGUUGAUGUACUAUCAAUUUUUUUUGUAACUCAAGUAUUUCCGAACCAAUUCUAGUGUGUACCAGUUAGUUUGCGAUACCGCACUUGUUUUGUAAAAAAAAUAAAUGAGAAAAAUUGUAGUAGAGAAUUAAACAAUAAAAAUUAAAAUAUUAAUUUUAUUAAAUUGUAUUAAACUAUUAUUUAUUUAA